rnacentral:misc_RNA from 1 species
AACUUUCGACAAUGGAUCACUUGGCUCUCGCAUCAAUGAAGAACGCAGCGAAAUGCGAUAAGUAAUGUGAAUUGCAGAAUUCAGUGAAUCAUCGAAUCUUUGAACGCACCUUGCACCCUUUGGCAUUCCGAAGGGUAUGCUCGUUUGAGUGUCAUUGUACUCUCACACUCCCGAUCUUGGUUGGGAGCGGUGGACUUGGGUGUUGCUGCUUACCGUGGCUCACCUCAAAUGGAUUCGUGCAUCUCUUGGUUGGACAUAGUACGGCGUGAUAAGUGUCUUCGCCGGCGCCUCACUAGAGGGUGGCCGAUCGGGAGCUCUGUGCUUCUAACCGUCUUCGGACAACGACUGACAACUUGACCUCAAAUCGAGUAGGACUACCCGCUGAACUUAAGCAUAUCAAUAAGCGGAGGCU